rnacentral:ncRNA from 2 species
AAGAAUUCACAUGACUGACGGAGUUGCGGAGUUUACCGCAAGGGAGUGUGAAAAUUGUGUAAUGCCGACCGUCUGGGCUAAAUGU